UACGUAGGGGCCCCAGCGUUUGUCCGGAAUCAUUGGGCGUAAAGCGUUCCGCAGGUGGCAGUUCAAGUCUGCUGUCAAAGACCGGGGGCUUAACUUUCGGAAAGGCAGUGGAAACUGAACAGCUGGAGUAUGGUAGGGGCAGAGGGAAUUUCCUGGUGUAGCGGUGAAAUGCGUAGAGAUCAGGAAGAACAUCGGUGGCGAAGGCGCUCUGCUGGACCAUAACUGACACUCAGGGACGAAAGCUAGGGGAGCGAAUGGG
rnacentral:rRNA from 1 species